rnacentral:lncRNA from 1 species
UGGACACACCUUCUCAUUCAAAAUGUGUUAUAUUGUUUGUGUGACAAAUUGUAAAAAAUAUGCAGAUUUGUGUAGUUCAUCUGUGUUAUUUUUAUAAUUCAGGCAACGGCCGUUCCCAACACCGUCACUAGCUCCUACAGUCACAUCCAUGAAGAGUAACAAGUCGAUGGAUCGACCAGUAAAAUUCACAGAUUGGCCAGAUUGGGAAUAUCACAGGCAACAGCCAUUCCCAACACCGUCACCAGCUCCUACAGUCACAUCCACGAAGAGUAACAAGUCGAUGGAUCGACCAGUAAAAUUCACAGAUUGGCAAUAUCACAGGCAACAGCCAUUCCCAACACCGUCACCAGCUCCUACAGUCACAUCCACGAAGAGUAACAAGUCGAUGGAUCGACCAGUAAAAUUCACAGAUUGGCAAUAUCACAGGUAAUUCCAUUCAGAUUAUGAUACUUUCUAGUUUUAUUUAAGUGUAAAAUGUGUUUUUAUUAAUGGUAUAUUUCACAAUUUGUUGUAAUUAAUAGA